rnacentral:rRNA from 1 species
AAGUCGUAACAAGGUCUCCGUGGUAAUCCUUCGAAGCCUUUCACACAACGACUAUAAUAAUAUCGUGUGCAGUCCUUUUUAUUAUGGGCUACGUCACUAAAGUGCUGGAAUACAACCGUAGAUCAGCAGCCAAAUAGAGUAAACCCUCACGUUUGGUCCACAGAUUAGCUAGUGAUGGUCAGUGGGAGAACAGUUAAGAUUCUUAAAAGUAUCGAAGACGUUUAUCAUCAUUGAUCAAGAUAUAAUCGGUCUCUAUGGCGCUCAUAGAGAGGAGACGUUCCGUAGGUGAACCUGCGGAAGGAUCAUUAUCGAGCUAGGGUCCUCUGGGGCCCAUCUCCAACCCUUGUCUAUCUCACCACGUUGCUUUGGCGGGCCCGUCUUUGACCGGACCGUCGGGGGUCUAAUCCCCUGAUCAGCGCCCGCCAGUAGCCCCUACAAAAUCGUCGAAUGGUGUCGUCUAAGUUUGAAAAAGAAAUAACCAAAACUUUCAACAACGGAUCUCUUGGUUCUGGCAUCGAUGAAGAACGCAGCGAAAUGCGAUAAGUAAUGCGAAUUGCAGAAUUCCGUGAGUCAUCGAAUCUUUGAACGCACAUUGCGCCCUUUGGUAUUCCGAAGGGCAUGCCUGUCCGAGCGUCAUUAUCCAACUCUCAAGCCCGGCUUGCGGUUGGGUCCCGCCGUGGUCGCCCGCGGCGGACCCGAAAGGUAAUGGCGGUGCCCGUGGCCCUKGAUGCACGAGCUUUUCCGCACGCAUCCGCGCGGUCCCCGGCGCCGCCGCAACCAACCAUCUCGCAGAUUGACCUCGGAUCAGGUAGGGAUACCCGCUGAACUUAAGCAUAUCAAUAAGCGGAGGAAAAGAAACCAACAGGGAUUGCCUCAGUAACGGCGAGUGAAGCGGCAGCAGCUCAAAUUUGAAAUCUGGCUCCUCCGGGGCCCGAGUUGUAAUUUGUAGAGGACGCUUCGGGUCAGGCUGCGGUCUAAUUCGCUUGGAACAGCGAGUCAUAGAGGGUGAGAAUCCCGUCUGGGACCGCGAGCCGCGCCCGUGUGAAGCUCCUUCGACGAGUCGAGUUGUUUGGGAAUGCAGCUCUAAAUGGGUGGUAAAUUUCAUCUAAAGCUAAAUAUGGGCCAGAGACCGAUAGCGCACAAGUAGAGUGAUCGAAAGAUGAAAAGCACUUUGAAAAGAGAGUUAAACAGUAUGUGAAAUUGUUGAAAGGGAAGCGCUUGCAAUCAGACUUGCGCAUGGCGGUUCCCCCGGUCUCCUGGCCGGGCUACUCCGUCAUGUCCAGGCCAACAUCGGUUCGGGCGGCCGGUGAAAGACCCCGGGAAUGUAUCUACCUCCGGGUCGACUUAUAGCCCGGGGUGCAAUGCGGCCCGCCCGGACCGAGGAACGCGCUUCGGCUCGGAUGUUGGCGUAAUGGUUGUAAGCGGCC